UGUAUUAAAAAAUUAUUAUUGAUUACUAGAAGUGUAUACUUAAAAUUUAAAGAUCUUGGCGGUCAUCUAUUUUAUCAGGGGAAUAUGUGCCUUAAUAUGAUAAUCCACAAUCUAACCCUGUAUUUUGAAAUCAGCUUGUCUACAGCCGUCGUCAGAUUAUUUUGAAUAUAAUAGUCAACUAAGUAUAAUAUGGUGCUUUCACGUCAGGUCUAUGUGCAGUUUAUAGUAAGGGGGUCAUGUAUUACAAUCUUAAUAAAGAAAUAAAAUAACUCUAAAAAUGGUUUAAUAUGAGGACUUGAUAGUAAUAAUAAUAUAUAAUAUUUUUAUGAAUUAAUUUUAAGAUGAUGUACAUAUCGCCCGUCACUCCCAUUUUUG
rnacentral:rRNA from 1 species